rnacentral:lncRNA from 1 species
CUGGCGUGCGAAGCCUCCGCCGCGAGGCCCAGGACCGAAGCCACCCCGCAGUGCUUGGGGCACGGCUCCGAGACCCAGUGUUCGCGGGGCACCGUCAGCCCCCUCGGGGGGAUCCCCUGUGUCUGGGGUCCACCCAGGAGCCUGGCAGCCUCCCAAGCCCUCCCCCAGAAAGCAGGUGUAUUCAUUUCCCUGCGCCACACACCGACCCUUCCGCAAAGUCCGCCCCCCGCCAGCCCCGGGCGGGGCACCGCACCGCAGGCACCCGAGGCAGGCCGCCCCAGGGACAGUGGGAUCAGCCUGUGUCCCCAAGGAGGGAGGCUCACCUCUUUGGGGAGAGCAACAAAAGCAGGACUCCCCAUCUGCUUGGGCGCGGGGCUGCUGCAUUUACAAGACGAAUCACCAGGCCGCAUCAACCAGGGUGAAGUGACGGGCGUGGGAAGGGUGGGCACACGGGGGCGGGGGCAGCUCUCCCCCCAGUGGGGACCCGCCCGAGGCUCCUGGGGGGGAGAGGGGCAGCAGAGCCUCUGGGUACCCCAAUCCGCAUAUGCGAUCGGCUCAGAGCCCAGCUCCCCUGCACAGAUCCCGGCCUUCCCGGGCCAGCAGCUGGCCUGGGACCCUUGGGGCCUGCAGAGGGUCUCAACGCUGCCACUGGGGCCAGGUAGCAGGGCCCCUGGCGCGGGGGUCCCGGCCCCCCACAAGGGACAAGGAGGCGGUGUUGUGGGCCCUCUCUUGCCUAAACCUCUCCGCUCCCCGGGUGCUGCUGUGCGCGUCCUCCGUGCCGCCCACCUGGGCCCCUCGGAUCCGAGCGGGGACCUGGGCGGGCUGGCCUCUCUUGCUCACCGGACCCCGCAGGCCGGAUGGGGGGCCGUCUCCCUCGGCGCAGAGCCCGCCCGCCUCCGUGCCAGAUGUGUCAAGCCUCGGCCUGUAGCCCCAAGAUUGGGUUUCCGGCCGGUUCCGCCAGGCAGCUGGCCCCGCAGGUGCGCCCGGAGGGAACAAGCGGCAUCCGUCCUCGGGGCCCCCUCCCGGCAUCUCCUGUGUCCCUGUGCCCGGACACCGCGGUCCGGGGGGCCCCGCCGAGCGACCCAGUGCAAGUCUCACGGGUGGAGCCCCAGCCGGCGGCGGACACCUUCCUCCUACGAGGAGAGGGAGUCGCCCAAGCCCGCGUUCCCGCCUCCUGGAGUUGCCGUCCUGGGAAUCUGUCCCUUUGCUGCUGCUUGUUUUAAAGAAAAGCAACAGAACGUGGUAGAUGAAGGUGGAGUCGCACGCGCCCCUGCCCGUGGCUGGUGCCCUCCAGGUGCCCUCCCCGGCCAGCCUCUCCCGACUGUGCUGGGUCCAUCAUUGGGGUCCAGUGGCCUUCACCGUUCGUAG